UACGUAGGGUGCGAGCGUUAAUCGGAUUUACUGGGCGUAAAGCGUGCGCAGGCGGCCCGCUAAGACAGAUGUGAAAUCCCCGGGCUCAACCUAGGAAUUGCGCUUGUGACUGGCGGGCUGGAGUACGGUAGAGGGGGGUGGAAUUCCUGGUGUAGCAGUGAAAUGCGUAGAGAUCAGGAGGAACACCGAUGGCGAAGGCAGCCCCCUGGGCCUGUACUGACGCUCAUGCACGAAAGCGUGGGGAGCAAACAGG
rnacentral:rRNA from 1 species